UAAUGCAACUUAUCACUGCUCAUUACAGUAAGCUUUGUUUUAUCAAUUUGAUACAUGUACAUCUUUUUGUGAAUUUAAUUUGAUAGACUUCUCAUGAAGCUGGAUUUUUCCACUGAAAGAUUAUUGCAUGUGUAUUGAAUAACGAUAUUAAUGAUGAUGUUUUUAAUAUUGCAACUUCUUUAUUUUGUUAAAGCCAGGUUGGUUUUGAUUUUUGGAAUUAAAAAAAAUGGCAUAUGAGUGACCGUUUCAUGAAAAUAUUCUGAACCGUUGAUAUGGGAAAAUGAAUUCUAAUGGCAAAUUUUUGUUGUCCCAUAUAUGUAUUUUACACAAAAAUUAUGCCAGAAAAUUCCAGGUGCAAAAUCCAGUUGGUGUGGCCUUCUAUUGUCUGUGUUGGCUUUUUAUUGUUUGUUUAAUUAUAUAUCUAUGAUGUGUUGAUAUUGAAAUUCACUGUUUACAAGUUGAAGUUUCUGUAAAUAAAAAAAUGUUAUCAUUCUCUUA